CCAAAUGUAAGCAUUUCAAGCGCCAUGAGACUUAGAUUGAUCGAUUUUUAUAUUUUAUACUGUAGUACAUAGUCUAUGUAAAACAAUAAUAGCUGUGGCAAGUAAAGGAGGCCAGACUUUAAAGGAGGCUGUCCAGAGAAUGUUCUUUGCGUUAUUCACUAAUAACCUCUGCUGUAAACUCAACUGGUCUGGUAGUACCAUAAAUGACAAUGAAAGUAACUUUGUAAAACAAAGACUUAAACUUGCUUAAAAGCUUAUGCUUUGCAAAAGGUUCACCAUCGCCCUUAAGUUGCUGUGGGUUUUACGGUUUUACUUUCAACCUGGCAUAUAA